CCUACGGGAGGCAGCAGUAAGGAAUAUUGGACAAUGGGCGCAAGCCUGAUCCAGCCAUGCCGCGUGAAGGAUUAAGGUCCUCUGGAUUGUAAACUUCUUUUAUAGGGGACGAAAAAAGGGCAUUCUUGCUCACUUGACGGUACCCUAUGAAUAAGCACCGGCUAACUCCGUGCCAGCAGCCGCGGUAAUACGGAGGGUGCAAGCGUUAUCCGGAUUCACUGGGUUUAAAGGGUGCGUAGGCGGGCAGUUAAGUCAGUGGUGAAAUCUCCGAGCUCAACUCGGAAACUGCCAUUGAUACUAUCUGUCUUGAAUAUUGUGGAGGUAAGCGGAAUAUGUCAUGUAGCGGUGAAAUGCUUAGAUAUGACAUAGAACACCUAUUGCGAAGGCAGCUUACUACGCAUAUAUUGACGCUGAGGCACGAAGGCGUGGGGGAUCAAACAGGAUUAGAUACCCUGGUAGUCCACGCCCUAAACCGAUGGAUACUCGACAUACGACGAUACACUGUGUGUGUCGUGAGCGAAGACGAUUAAGUUAGUCCUUACCGUUCGGUAAGGUUACGGUUCCGCCGAGGAGAGAACGUUACGAAGUUAGAGUUAGUUACGGCGUUGAGGACGUUACGCCGACGGACGGACGACGACGGGGAGGUAGGGUAG
rnacentral:rRNA from 1 species